CCUACGGGUGGCAGCAGUCGAGAAUCAUUCACAAUGGGGGAAACCCUGAUGGUGCGACGCCGCGUGGGGGAAUGAAGGUCUUCGGAUUGUAAACCCCUGUCAUGUGGGAGCAAAUUAAAAAGAUAGUACCACAAGAGGAAGAGACGGCUAAAUCUGUGCCAGCAGCCGCGGUACUAAAGAGGUCUCAAGCGUUGUUCGGAAUCACUGGGCGUAAAGCGUGCGUAGGCUGUUUCGUAAGUCGUGGGUGAAAGGCGCGGGCUCAACCCGCGGACGGCACAUGAUACUGCGAGACUAGAGUAAUGGAGGGGGAACCGGAAUUCUCGGUGUAGCAGUGAAAUGCGUAGAUAUCGAGAGGAACACUCGUGGCGAAGGCGGGUUCCUGGACAUUAACUGACGCUGAGGCACGAAGGCCAGGGGAGCGAAAGGGAUUAGAUACCCCUGUAGUC
rnacentral:rRNA from 1 species